GAACGCUGGCGGCAUGCUUUACACAUGCAAGUCGAACGGUAACAGGCCUUCGGGCGCUGACGAGUGGCGAACGGGUGAGUAAUACAUCGGAACGUACCUUAUCGUGGGGGAUAACGCAGCGAAAGCUGUGCUAAUACCGCAUACGCCCUGAGGGGGAAAGCGGGGGAUCGAAAGACCUCGCGCGAUUAGAGCGGCCGAUGCCUGAUUAGCUUGUUGGUGGGGUAAAAGCCCACCAAGGCGACGAUCAGUAGCUGGUCUGAGAGGACGAUCAGCCACACUGGGACUGAGACACGGCCCAGACUCCUACGGGAGGCAGCAGUGGGGAAUUUUGGACAAUGGGCGAAAGCCUGAUCCAGCCAUGCCGCGUGAGUGAAGAAGGCCUUCGGGUUGUAAAGCUCUUUCGGCUGGGAAGAAAUCGCACAGGCUAAUACUCUGUGUGGAUGACGGUACCAGCACAAGAAGCACCGGCUAACUACGUG
rnacentral:rRNA from 1 species